UCUAGUCAAAAACUUCUGCCCCGAGCUACAUUAACUUAUACAGUAGGCUACAUGAGACACGAACACCAAUGUAUUCCAGCAAGCAAAACCGAGACGGUGAAAUGACGGCUUACUAGACCCAAAAUAGUCCAUAUACACAUCGUCUGUUCUUGGGCCAUGGUUAGAUGCCUAAUAGACAUUCUUGCAUUGUUUUCAUUGCUUGCUGGGAUUGUGCACAAUGCUACACCCGUUUCCAGCUGCUUUCACCACACCAGCUAAUCCUUACCAGAUGUGAUGGAGAAAAGACAGAGGGAGACAGAGAGCAGAUGUGUGUGACAGAUUGAAUAUGGAGAAGAGGGAGGAAUGACGGAGGAGGAAGGAAGGAGUUGAAUUAGACAUGUGUAGAUAAAGAGAUACAGGAAAGAAGAUGGGUUAUGACUGAUAUGCAAGUAAAAAAUAUAUUGAAUCGGUCCAAAAACAUAAAAUAACCCAAAAACAAUCAGUGACCUUGAAUUUGACCAAUAAAACUUCAACCUCCGGUUUCACAGACAAGACUUAAGGCUAGUCAUAGACUAAAACACAUUUUUGAGCUGUCUCAACUGAAAAUAACUUGCAAUGAUAGAUCUUAGUGCCAUAAAAACCCUGUUAGUGUUUAAGGCAUGUUAUAAGCAAUGCUUAAACUCUUACUUAAAGGGAUAGUUUACCCAAAAAUGAAAAUUAUGUCAUCAUUUACUCUCAUGUUAUUACAAACCCGCAUAAAUUUCUUUGUUCCUUCAUGUUUAUCAGAACAAAGACAUACAGGUUUGUUUCAACAUCCGAGUGAGUGAAUGAUGACAGAAUUGUCAUUUUUGGGUGAACUAUCCCUUUAAUUAUUUUAAUCUUAACCCUGGCUUUAGCUAAGCCUUGUCUGUGAAACCCUUUCUAACUCUUACUCUGCUAUUAUGAUGUGGUGCAUUUGUGCAUAACAUUUUUGGUGAUGCGUGAUCACAGAUACUGAAGAUGAAGAAAAGUGGAAAAUAAAAAUUGUGUAGUAUUAUGUUCUGGGGUAUUUAUUUUUGAUUUUUUGUCCCAAGAUGCACAUAUGUACCGCUUUCCCACAGUAAAUAUCCCCAUGUGAUUACCCUUGGAAAAAAGCAUGGUUAUCAUCAAAAACAUGUAUUUUAGGAUCUAUGAAGUCUGUUAACAGUAUGAAG